GGGCUGGGACCUUACUUCGGUGAGGGCUCCAGCUUGUCUGAAUUAUUCACCCAUGUCUUUUGCGCACUUCUUGUUUCCUGGGCGGGUUCGCCCGCCACCAGGACCAAACCAUAAACCUUUUUGUAAUUGCAAUCAGCGUCAGUAAACAAUGUAAUUAUUACAACUUUCAACAACGGAUCUCUUGGUUCUGGCAUCGAUGAAGAACGCAGCGAAAUGCGAUACGUAGUGUGAAUUGCAGAAUUCAGUGAAUCAUCGAAUCUUUGAACGCACAUUGCGCCCUUUGGUAUUCCAAAGGGCAUGCCUGUUCGAGCGUCAUUUGUACCCUCAAGCUUUGCUUGGUGUUGGGCGUCUUGUCUCUCACGAGACUCGCCUUAAAAUCAUUGGCAGCCGACCUACUGGUUUCGGAGCGCAGCACAAUUCUUGCACUUUGAAUCAGCCUUGGUUGAGCAUCCAUCAAGACCCUAUUUUUUUUAACUUUUGACCUCG
rnacentral:rRNA from 1 species